GCCCUUGGACAUCAGACUCCAAGUUCUUCAGCUUUUGGACUCUUGGACUUACACCAGUGGUUUGCCAGGGGUUCUCUGACCUUUUGCCACAGACUGAAGGCUGCACCAUUGUCUUCCCUACUUCUGAGGUCCCUACUUUUGAGGACUGGCUUCCUUGCUCCCUAGCUUGCAGAUGGCCUACUGUGGGACUUCACCUUGCGAUCCGUAGGUAUAUUUCUAUAGAAGAAGGUGAACGCUAAGAGCAAAGUCUCUGGAGACAUGUGCAUACGGAUUUGAUCUUCAUCUUCCUACACUAGUAGGAAUAAAUCCUGGACAAAUGAGGAGUGAAUACUUGUAAACCAUGCCGGCCAUCUUUUUGCCCCUUACUCUCAAUAUGCAAUUAUCAUGUCUUAAUGUAUCCUUCAAUAUUCUUUCUGCCUCGUCACACCCAUUGCCACUGCCCUUAUUAUUUUUAACUGGAGUACUGUAAACACUUCCUAAUUAGGUUUUACUCCCUGGUUCUUGGCUCCUUCAGAACAUCUUCCUCAUUCCCAAUAGACUGAUCUUGCUAAAAUAGCAAUGUAAGGGUCCUAUUCUUUCAAUCAGUACUCAUCACAUUCAGUCUAAAAUACAAACUCCUUGGCAUGACAUAUAGGAGCCUUCUUGAUCACAAACCAUUUUCUCAUAGAUAUCCUUUGCUCAAGUAAUAGAGAAUGUAUUAAAAGCCUUGGAAUAGCCCAUGUUUUGUAAACUAUAUGCCUUCACACAAACUAUUUCCUCUCUUUGAAAUGCUUUCUCUGCCUCCUCUGACUAGCUCUUCUGGGUGCCUCAAGCUUCAGCUCAGCUAUUAUCUUGCCUAGAAACUCUCUAAAGAACUUUUCUCCUGCGCUACCUCCCUGGUCCAGGGUGUGUCCCACAACCCUCAUAAUACAUCAUGAUCGUGGGUCUUAUUCGGUUUAUUUUAUUAGUUCUUUCAUUCUUGCAAUAAAUAAUUAUGACUGCUUUCUAUAUUUAAAAUACUGUUCCGAGUUUAGAAUACAACAAUAAACCAGUCAACAUUUUAUCUUACAAAACUUACAAUAAGACAGGGGGUUAAAAACAACUAAACAAUUUCAGAACCAUAUGAUACUCUUAUAAAUGAGCAGUACAGUGUUGAUUUGAUUUUUCUACAGUCUUGUGUAUACUUAGCAAAGAUCUUAUUACUGGAGCUCAUUUGGAAGCAGGAACUGCAGCUCCAUCACUAUAUUUUCUUGCCAAUAUCACUAUAUUCAUAUUGAUGGAGGCUGAUACAUGUUUGUGGAGCUAAUAAAUACAUAUGCAUUGUUUUAAAAAUAUGAUCUUCUAAAAGAUUAUAUAACUACUGUCAAUCUAUUCUUACGAUUAAUAAUGUUUAUUCUUAAAAUAUCAUCUUCACAUUAGGUUUGAAUGUAUACUUCUAUGUGAGAGAAUUUUCUCUUGUGUUUUCAGAGAAAAAUGGCAAGUCCCUCUAUAUAUUUGGAGGCUAUCGUAAGGUUUCUAAUGACUUGAAUUCGGUAGGUUGAUCCACUAGGGUCUGACAUGCAGUAACAUCCCUCCUCUCAUCCCCAGCAUUCUGCUCCUCCCUAUUCUGUUUCAGCUCCACUGGCCUAGUUCCUACCUCAGCUCUCCAGCAUUUACAGAUGCAUCUGCCAGCAACACUCUUUCUCUAGAUAUUAAAUGCACAGGUUUCUUUGCUCCUCAGAUAAGCCUUCCUUAAAAAUAGUGCCCUCACCACAUUCUCUUUAUUCCUAUAACCUGACACAUUUUUCUCCAUGACACUUGAAUGUAAGCUCCAUGAAUACAGACACGUUCUCUUCUUUGAUGUUGAAUCACCGUGGACCAGCCCAUAUUCUCAAUUAUCAUUUGUUGAAUGUAAUGUUGACAAUGCAACUCCAAGGAAGUACAACUGGAGAAGAGAGAUUUGGCAGAUACUGAGGGACUGAGAAAGUGAGAGGAUACAUCAAGAAAUAUAGAAGAGUCAGAAAUUCUAUUCUUGGGACAGGAACAUGACACCUGAAAUCACUGGUAUUUAAUAAUCUUUGAUUGAAAUAUACAGUUGUCCUCUGGAGACAUUAAGAGAUGAAUUAAUAUAUGAUCCUCUGUAAGGAAGCUGCCUUCUCUCUUUAUACUGCCUCCCAGGCUUGUGGCAUUAGUCCCACAGAGACUGGGUAAAUUUAAGUACACACAUUUGGACUUCUUUUCCCUGGAUUAAAUCAUCUCUAGUCUAUCAUUUUCCAUCAUCAUUCAUAUUUUUUAAAUAUUCCUUUCAAAUUGUUAUCAUUUUUAAAAAAUUCAAAUUUUUCAUAUUGAAUUUAAGGCAUUUGGCAACAUGAAUUUUUGAAACUUUUGGUCAGGAUUUGACAAAAAAAGACUCAUAGAAUAUAAAUGCAUAUCUGUCAUGUAUAUAAGAAAUCUAGAACUUUUCAUGCCUUGGAGUUUUGAGUCAUUAUGAAAUUAGUAGAUAAUAGAUAAUGCUAGGUUUAUCAUGUUUGGGGAUUCAGUGGAUCACAUUGGAUCAUUAAAUAUCAUGUUUUGAAUAUAAUAGAAUAAUGAUAAAAGAACAAGCUAUGUAUUUUGUUCUAAUAACCUUGAAUGUUUUUCAUUAUGUAAGAAAGUCACUUAAUGGUAUGCCUUUCAUGAUUUCACAUUUGUAUUUAAUUCUUCAUAAACAAUUUAACCUAGUUCUGGAGUUGAAAGACUUGUAAUAAUUUAAGCUUAAUUUUGAGUUUCUAAAUUAAUACAUGUUAUUUGAUUUCAUUUUUUUGCAAAUGUGAGACAUGAAAAUGAAAAUUUGAAUUCUGCAAACUCAAAAGAAUUUUCUAGCUUAACUUCUGUUUUUGAAGAGUAGUUUCAAUUUUCAACAGUCUGAUAGAUUUGAUUGUUGGUAUCGCUUGUCAUAUUCCCUCUCUGUUUAUCAGUUCACUAAAACCAAUAUAGAAAGUGCUAUUAAUAUCCCUCUUCUUAUCUUCUUGCCAACUAUCCAUGAAAAGCAUCAAUCAAGUAAUUCCUGUAUGAAGGAUUUAUCAAUGCUGCAGUGACUUGUAAUUGAAGGCAUGUGGCUUCUGUGAAUUCAUAUAUUUAAGUUGUGCUUGCUAAAUGUCACAGAAUAGGAGGUUAUCAUAUAAGGAAAUUUAAACUAAGAACCUAAUUAAUCAUUCAAAUUAAGUGCAUAAUGUUAAGAAAAGAGUUUUCUUGCAUCAUCUAUUUCUAGGAACAAGAAAAAUAUAACUUCAUCAUUCACAUGAACAGGUCCAGCUUUUCUCUUUGUCCUCCAGUGGCCUUAUACAUAAAGAGUAAAGUAGUUAAAAACAGCAGUCAGAGAUUCUGAUGAGUCUAGACAUAUUAAAGGAAGAGCUGGCACCUAAUGAUAAAAAAAAGAUUGAAUUUUAUUAAGUCAUCAAGUUCUAUGUUUUAGAAUUCCACAUCAAGGUGAAAAUUAGAGAAGAAAUAAAUAUUGAAUAAAACAGUUUGCCCUGAUUCUGGAUACAUCAUUACAGGUUUAUGACUUGCAGUGCUUUUCAAAUGAAGGGAUGUGAGUUCUUCAGAACACUUCACGUUGUGAUACUCUUAAUGAGCUAGCCCAUCUUUAUUUCUUAUUCCCUCUACAGUAGCCCUGUAUUCUUUUCCAUUAUUGAUACUAAUUUGAGGGAAAAUGUAAUGAAUUUCUUAGUUAAAAAUUCUUUAGGUCGGGUGCGGGCACUUUGGGAGGCCAAGGCAGGCAGAUCACCAGAGGUCGGGAGUUUGAGACCAGCCUGACAAACAUGGAGAAACCCCGUCUCUACUAAAAAUACAAAAUUAACCCGGUGUGGUGGCGCAUGCCUAUAAUCCCAGCUAUUUGGGAGACUGAGGUGGGAGAAUUGCUUGAACCCAGAAGGCAGAGGUUGUGGUGAGCUGAGAUCACGCCAUUGCACUCUAGCCUGGGCAAGAAGAGCAAAACUCCGUCUCAAAAAAAUAAAUAAAUAACUAAAAAUAAAAAUAAAAACUUUAAUUGAAAAUAUUUACACUUACUUAAAAACAAAUUUACAUAGCAUUUCCUCCGUGUAAUGCUAUAUCUAGCAUUAUAUAUAUCUAGAUAUUGGCAGAUUCAACAUCUAGAUUCUCCUUGCUUCUUUUUUCUGUCAUCUAUCUAUCUAUCUAUCUAUCUAUCUAUCUAUCUAUCUAUCUAUCUAUGUAUUUACCUACAUAUCUAUCCUAAUUUUUGGAUGUGCCAAGGGUCAGGGAUGCCAGGGAGCCUCAGAGGGAAAGCAUCUUCCAUACUGAAAUACUAGAAAUUCAGCAAGCAGUGAGCAGUACAACAGCUUAGACAUUUCAGGCUUCCACACUUCCUUAAAGUUGAAAACUUUAAGGAAAUUGGUUUUUCUGUGUUCACAAUGGAGCUUUACUAGGUACUUGCUUUUUAGCUGUAUUGGCCAUGACUGAAUUUCAUGUGGACUUAUAUUAAGGAGAAAAUUUUUAUGUGGAAAACCUCAAUGCAUUUCUCAGGCUAUCAAAAUUAAUUGAAUAUGGUCAAUGAAUACCAAUACAUGGGAAUCAUUGUACAUGUUCCAGUGGAUAAAGAAAAUAUUUUUGAAACUUCAAUAUCACUUGACAAGAAAUCUGUUUAAAUAAAAACAUUACAAGUACAGAAUGAUGGAAGAAAUACGUUGUUUUUCUUGAUUAAGAACAUCUACAGUCUUUCAUAGAAUACCCACAGGAAGCUCAGAAACAUAAUGGGAAAAGUGCAAAAUCUAUUGAAUGCUUUAUUGGCUCAGUUAUUCUCUGAAUCACAGUAGAUAUAAAUACUCUCCUUGGCCUUAGGGCUGCCUUCAAAAAUGCUUGUCUAUAUCAACUUAGAUUGCAAAAUAAAUAAAUAAGUAAAGUGUCAGGAACUGUGUUAAACUACUGCAGGCAGAGAUUGAAAAAUGGUGCAAUAAUAUUCUAAGAAGUUGACCAAGAUCAGAGCUGUUAAGAGGGAGUGACAGGUGGUGUAUGCAUCCCCAGGCCCUGACUCACUAAAUUCUAAAUGGCACUUACUCUACCUAGACUAAUAAUCACAGCAGUCAUGUUGUACCAGACACUUCUUGUAUUUCUCAUCUGUGGUUUCUGUUAAGGAUAAGACAUUUUAAGAACCUCAUAAAGAAGUGAAAAUUAUUAAUUUGUACUUUGUCAUGGAUUCUAAAUCCUAUAUUAAUGUAAAACUGUUGCAUGAAAUAUAAUUUGUCCAUGUACCCUGAGCUUAUAAACAUUAAGAUGUUAUCAUACGGUGGUGUAAUCUUUGUCUCUGUGUAUGUCUGUGUCUCUGCUGAAGUUUCAGCUGUUUGAGAGCCAGGGGCA
rnacentral:lncRNA from 1 species